rnacentral:rRNA from 1 species
GUGGGAUUAGCUAGUUGGUGAGGUAAUGGCUCACCAAGGCGACGAUCCCUAGCUGGUUUGAGAGGGAUGGAUCAGCCACACUGGAACUGAGACACGGUCCAGACUCCUACGGGAGGCAGCAGUGGGGAAUAUUGCACAAUGGGGGAAACCCUGAUGCAGCCAUGCCGCGUGUGUGAAGAAGGCCUUCGGGUUGUAAAGCACUUUCAGCGAGGAGGAAAGGUUGGUAGCUAAUAACUGCCAGCUGUGACGUUACUCGCAGAAGAAGCACCGGCUAACUCCGUGCCAGCAGCCUCGGUAAUACGGAGGGUGCAAGCGUUAAUCGGAAUUACUGGGCGUAAAGCGCACGCAGGCGGUUGGAUAAGUUAGAUGUGGGGGCCCCGGGCUCCGCCUGGGCUGUGCGUUUCCCUCUGUCCUGCUGGGGUCUUGUGGCGGGGGGUGGUUUUCCUGGUGUGGCGGUGCCCUGCGUUGUGGUCUGGAGGCCUGCCGGUGGCGUCGGCGGCCCCCUGGGCCGGGNCUGUCGCUCUGGUGCGUUCGCGUGGGGGGCCCCAGAGAUUGGGUUCCCUGGUAGUCCACGCCGUAAACGAUGUCGAUUUGGAGGCUGUGUCCUUGAGACGUGGCUUCCGGAGCUAACGCGUUAAAUCGACCGCCUGGGGAGUACGGCCGCAAGGUUAAAACUCAAAUGAAUUGACGGGGGCCCGCACAAGCGGUGGAGCAUGUGGUUUAAUUCGAUGCAACGCGAAGAACCUUACCUACUCUUGACAUCCAGAGAACUUUCCAGAGAUGGAUUGGUGCCUUCGGGAACUCUGAGACAGGUGCUGCAUGGCUGUCGUCAGCUCGUGUUGUGAAAUGUUGGGUUAAGUCCCGCAACGAGCGCAACCCUUAUCCUUUGUUGCCAGCGAUUCGGUCAGGAACUCAAAGGAGACUGCCGGUGAUAAACCGGAGGAAGGUGGGGAUGACGUCAAGUCAUCAUGGCCCUUACGAGUAGGGCUACACACGUGCUACAAUGGCAUAUACAAAGGGCGGCAAGCUAGCGAUAGUGAGCGAAUCCCAUAAAGUAUGUCGUAGUCCGGAUUGGAGUCUGCAACUCGACUCCAUGAAGUCGGAAUCGCUAGUAAUCGUGGAUCAGAAUGCCACGGUGAAUACGUUCCCGGGCCUUGUACACACCGCCCGUCACACCAUGGGAGUGGGCUGCAAAAGAAGUGGGUAGCUUAACCUUCGGGGGGGCGCUCACCACUUUGUG